rnacentral:rRNA from 1 species
CUCUGGGCCGUUACUGACGCUGAGGAGCGAAAGCGUGGGGAGCGAACAGGAUUAGAUACCCUGGUAGUNCACGCCGUAAACGUUGGGCACUAGGUGUGGGGGGCCUUUUCCGGGUUUUCCGCGCCGUAGCUAACGCAUUAAGUGCCCCGCCUGGGGAGUACGGCCGCAAGGCUAAAACUCAAAGGAAUUGACGGGGGCCCGCACAAGCGGCGGAGCAUGCGGAUUAAUUCGAUGCAACGCGAAGAACCUUACCAAGGCUUGACAUGUGCCGGUCGGCUCCGGAGACGGGGUUUCCUCCUUGUGGGGCCGGUUCACAGGUGGUGCAUGGUUGUCGUCAGCUCGUGUCGUAAGAUGUUGGGUUAAGUCCCGCAACGAGCGCAACCCUUGUCCCGUGUUGCCAGCACGUUGUGGUGGGGACUCGCGGGAGACUGCCGGGGUCAACUCGGAGGAAGGUGGGGAUGACGUCAAAUCAUCAUGCCCCUUAUGUCUUGGGCUUCACGCAUGCUACAAUGGCCGGUACAGAGGGCUGCGAUACCGUGAGGUGGAGCGAAUCCCUUAAAGCCGGUCUCAGUUCGGAUCGGUGUCUGCAACUCGACACCGAGAAGUUGGAGUCGCUAGUAAUCGCAGAUCAGCAACGCUGCGGUGAAUACGUUCUCGGGCCUUGUACACACCGCCCGUCACGUCAUGAAAGUCGGCAACACCCGA